UACGGAGGGUGCAGGCGUUGUCCGGAAUCACUGGGCGUAAAGGGCGCGUAGGCGGCUCAUGAAGGCUGUGGUGAAAGUCCGGGGCUCAACUCCGGAUCUGCGGUGGGUACGGGCAGACUAGAGUGAUGUAGGGGAGACUGGAAUUCCUGGUGUAGCGGUGAAAUGCGCAGAUAUCAGGAGGAACACCGGUGGCGAAGGCGGGUCUCUGGGCCGAUACUGACGCUGAGGAGCGAAAGCGUGGGGAGCGAACAGG
rnacentral:rRNA from 1 species